AUUGAACGCUGGCGGCAGGCCUAACACAUGCAAGUCGAACGAGUGGCGGACGGGUGAGUAAUGUCUGGGAAACUGCCCGAUGGAGGGGGAUAACUACUGGAAACUGUAGCUAAUACCGCAUACCAUCGGAUGUGCCCAGAUGGGAUUAGCUUGUAGGUGAGGUAACGGCUAACCUGGGCGACGAUCCCUAGCUGGUCUGAGAGGAUGGCCAGCCGCACUGGAAUGUAGACACGGUCCAGCCUCCUAUGUGAGGCAGCAGUGGGUAAUAUUGCACAAUGUGCGAAAGCCUGAUGCAGCCAUGCGGCGUGUAUGAAUAAGGCCUUCGGGUUGUAAAGUACUUUCAGCGGGUAGGCGUUACCCGCAUAAUAAGCACCGGCUAACUCCGUGCCAGCAGCCGCGGUAAGAC
rnacentral:rRNA from 1 species